rnacentral:tRNA from 1 species
UGAUAGGGUAAGCUAAAAAUUAAGCUCUUGGGCCCAUACCCCAACCAUGUAGGUUAAAAUCCUACCUCUAACAU